GACGAACGCUGGUGGCGUGCUUAACACAUGCAAGUCGAACGGGAUUUAGUAAACAGAAGCCUCGGUGGAAGAUUACUAAUGAGAGUGGCGAACGGGUGAGUAACGCGUGAGCAACCUGCCUAUGACAGUGGGAUAGCCUCGGGAAACCGGGAUUAAUACCGCAUAAAAUCGUAGAAACACAUGUUUUAACGGUCAAAGAUUUAUCGGUCAUAGAUGGGCUCGCGUCUGAUUAGCUAGUUGGUGAGAUAACAGCCCACCAAGGCGACGAUCAGUAGCCGGUCUGAGAGGAUGAACGGCCUCAUUGGAACUGAGACACGGUCCAAACUCCUACGGGAGGCAGCAGUGGGGAAUAUUGCACAAUGGGGGAAACCCUGAUGCAGCGACGCCGCGUGAACGAAGAAGGUAUUCGUAUCGUAAAGUUCUGUCCUAUGGGAAGAUAAUGACAGUACCAUAGAAGAAAGCUCCGGCUAAAUACGUG
rnacentral:rRNA from 1 species